rnacentral:rRNA from 1 species
UGGAUUAGGCAUGCAAGUCGAGCGCUGAUUACAGGGUAGCAAUAUUCUGUGGUGGGAGCGGCGCAAGGGUGCGUAACACGUGGGUAAUCUGCCAUGAAGUUUGGGAUAAUCCCGCGAAAGCGGGACUAAUACCGGAUGUGACAGCCUGUAGGCAUCUAUGGGUUGUUAAAGCUGGGGACCGCAAGGCCUGGCGCUUCAUGAUGAGCCCGCGGCCUAUCAGCUAGUUGGUGAGGUAACGGCUCACCAAGGCUAAGACGGGUAGCUGGUCUGAGAGGACGACCAGCCACACUGGAACUGAGACACGGUCCAGACACCUACGGGUGGCAGCAGUCGAGAAUUUUUCACAAUGGGCGCAAGCCUGAUGGAGCGACGCCGCGUGGGGGAUGAAUGGCUUCGGCCCGUAAACCCCUGUCAUUUGCGAGCAAGGCGCAUUAUUUAAAAGAUGAUGUGUUGAUAGUAGCGAAAGAGGAAGGGACGGCUAACUCUGUGCCAGCAGCCGCGGUAAUACAGA